CAGCAGCCGCGGGAACACGUAGGGUGCGAGCGUUAAUCGGAAUUACUGGGCGUAAAGCGUGCGCAGGCGGUUAUAUAAGACAGUUGUGAAAUCCCCGGGCUCAACCUGGGAACUGCAUCUGUGACUGUAUAGCUAGAGUACGGUAGAGGGGGAUGGAAUUCCGCGUGUAGCAGUGAAAUGCGUAGAUAUGCGGAGGAACACCGAUGGCGAAGGCAAUCCCCUGGACCUGUACUGACGCUGAGGCACGAAAGCGUGGGGAGCAAACAGGAUUAGAUACCCCUGUAGUCCCUGUCUCUUAUAC
rnacentral:rRNA from 1 species